AGAUUGAACGCUGGCGGAAUGCUUUACACAUGCAAGUCGAGCGGCAGCGCGGGGCAACCUGGCGGCGAGCGGCGAACGGGUGAGUAAUGCAUCGGAACAUGUCCAUUCGUGGGGGGAUAGCCCGGCGAAAGCCGGAUUAAUACCGCAUACGCCCUUAGGGGGAAAGCCGGGGACCGCAAGGCCUGGCGCGAAUGGGUUGGCCGAUGCCCGAUUAGCUAGUUGGCGGGUAAUGGCCACAAGGCGAUGAUCGGUAGCUGGUACUGAGAGGAUGAUCAGCCACACUGGGACUGAGACACGGCCCAGACUCCUACGGGAGGCAGCAGUGGGAAUUUGGACAAUGGGGGCAACCCUGAUCCAGCCAUUCCGCGUCGAGUGAAGAAGGCCUUCGGGUUGUAAAG
rnacentral:rRNA from 1 species